rnacentral:rRNA from 1 species
GAUGAACGCUGGCGGCGUGCCUAAUACAUGCAAGUCGAGCGAACAGACGAGGCGCUUGCUCCUCUGACGUUAGCGGCGGACGGGUGAGUAACACGUGGAUAACCUACCUAUAAGACUGGGAUAACUUAGAGAAACCGGAGCUAAUACUGGAUAAUAUAUUGAACCGCAUGGUUCAAUAGUGAAAGUCGGUUUUGCUGUCACGUAUCGAUGGCUCCGCGCCGGAUUAGCUAGUUGGUGAGGUAACGGCUUACCAAGGCAACGAUGCCUAGCCGACCUGAGGGGGUGAUCGGCCACACUGGAACUGAGACACGGUCCAGACUCCGACGGGAGGCAGCAGUAGGGAAUCUUCCGCAAUGGGCGAAAGCUUGACGGAGCAACGCCGCGUGAGUGAUGAAGGUCUUCGGAUCGUAAAACUCUGUUAUUAGGGAAGAACAAAUGUAUAAGUAACUAUGCACGUCUUGACGGUACCUAAUCAGAAAGCCACGGCUAACUACGUG